AAUUGGAGGGCAAGUCUGGUGCCAGCAGCCGCGGUAAUUCCAGCUCCAAUAGCGUAUAUUAAAGUUGUUGCAGUUAAAAAGCUCGUAGUUGAAUUUCGGGAUUGGCGUGAUGGUCGUGCCUUAAGGGGUAUGAACUGUCGCAGUUGAUUUCUCACCUUCUGGAGAAGCAUGAUGUCCUUAAUUGGGUGUCAUGUGGAACCAGGACCUUUACCUUGAAAAAAUUAGAGUGUUUAAAGCAGGCAUUUUGCUCGAAUACAUUAGCAUGGAAUAAUAGAAUAGGACGGCAUGGUUCUAUUUUGUUGGUUUCUAGGAUCACCGUAAUGAUUAAUAGGGAUAGUUGGGGGCAUUAGUAUUCAAUUGUCAGAGGUGAAAUUCUUGGAUUUAUUGAAGACUAACUACUGCGAAAGCAUUUGCCAAGGAUGUUUUCAUUAAUCAAGAACGAAAGUUAGGGGAUCGAAGACGAUCAGAUACCGUCGUAGUCUUAACCAUAAACUAUGCCGACUAGGAAUCAGACGAUGUUAAUUUUUUAAUGACUCGUUUGGCACCUUACGGGAAACCAAAGUGU
rnacentral:rRNA from 1 species